rnacentral:lncRNA from 1 species
GAUGCUCAAAUGUGUGCAAGAUGCUUUAUGAAUGUGGAGGAAUCAACCCCAAACAACAAUGCUCUAACUAAACCCUAACCUUGGAUGAAGGAUUCGUGCCAAAAAUGGUGGAGGAAGGGUUUUUGUGAAGAUGGGUGAAGGAAAAAGUGGAGAGAAUGUUGUGGAGAGUGUUUGGGAGUGGUCAAAAUGAGCCAGGGUCGAAUGGAGAGGUUAGGGUGAGACCUAGGGUAAGUAAAAUGUGCAAUGGGCUAACUCACGCUGGGCCUAAAAUUUUAAAACCCAAAAAUCCAUCUGCAGUACCAAUACUCAAUCCUAGUUACCGCUGAGCGGUAUGCUCGAGAUCAUUUUUCCUUCUUCCUAGCUUUCCUUAAGCGUCGUUGAACAAUGCCUCUCAAAUUCAACUCUCAAAUUUUGAAUUUCAUGCAAUUUUCACUCACAUCACUCAAACAUUUAACAAUUGACACCCUAAAAUGCAUAUAGAAUAGAAUGAAAACAAACAAACAUAGAUAAACACAAUCAACUGGGUUACCUUCCAGGUAGCGCUUGUUUAACAUCACGAGUCUGACCCAAACUCUUUCUAGCAC